GGAAAUGCAGGUUCAUUGGGAGGCUCAGUACGGUGGUCAGGGGAGAGAACGGCGUGGGAUGCCCCAAGAGGAGCUUAAGUGUAGCGCUACCAGGAGUCCCUGGGGUCGCGGCGGGACGGCGGCGCACGGGGAGGAGCGAGCCUGGCAGACAGACACAAUAAGGGUUCACAGAUGGAGCCGAGAAAAAGGCUGCGCGCCGCGGGGUUUCGGGACUCCCAGGCUCGGCCUCGCCCACUCACUCACUAGCAACGUGCUGGCGAAGCGCUACAGCUGAAGAGAAUCAGUCAUGAGAGAGCUGCCUGGAGGGAGGAAACCUUCCUCCCAGAGACGGGACUUUCCGGAGAGUUCUCUCCCACCCCUCCUAAUGCAAUGGGAGGGGUUGCCUCCCUGCCAAAUGCUGCUCAGAGAAGGGUGACAAAUCCUAGGGGCCCAGACCUGGAUGCUUACCUUGAAAUAACACUGAAGGCAUUAGUGUCCGACGCUCGGGCUACAGAGCACCCUCAGGCAGCAACACCAGAAGAGUCUGUAGAGCUGUACGCGGAGCCUGCUACUCCUUGUGAUGUGGAAGUACCCCAAAACUUAUCACUCUGUGGGAGAAAGUAUCUCUGUUGGACAGAAGAGCAUUAAUAUGGGAUCAUAUCAGAGAAAAGCAUUCUGUCAACAAACCAUGAUGAACAGUAUUGGGAAGAACAAUACUAAAAUCAGAACUGAUCCUGAGAACGCAGAGGAAAGCGAGGAAGAGGAAACACAAAGUGAGAAGGAUGGAGAAAGAAAACAGCAGAUACGUUGGAUGCUGGGUCCUGAUUUUGGACAGAUACAAGUAGUCAAGGGAGACGGAGAUUCAAAAACAUGACAGAUGUGAAUGGUUGCACACACGGGUAAAGUUUAUAAAUCAGCUGUGAUCUCGUUUACACAAAAAUGCUUUUACAAUAAAAUUGCACAGUACUUCGAAGCUCUAAUGUAUAACAAUCCACAUUAAAGAGUUCAGUUAAGACAACCUGGAUAACAAUAAAGAAAUGGAAUGUGAGGUCACAUGGCUGUAACUGAGGGAAGAAUUUGAUCCAAUUUCUUUGUAUUACUUAACUUUGCUCUCAGAAUGUUUGUAUUGAUCAAAUAUAGGUUGCCUCAAUUAUUCACAGCUGUAUUUCAGAUUCUAACUUAUUGUUAGACUUAUGACUCUCUUUCUCUCAAGUAUUUAGUUUUACCUUAAACAAAUAAUUCAGGACUUCCUCUUGUCUUUUCCUUUUAGUUUUUCUGAUUAUGAUUU